rnacentral:rRNA from 1 species
ACGUACACUCCUGCGGGAGGCAGCAGUGGGGAAUAUUGGACAAUGGGCGCAAGCCUGAUCCAGCCAUGCCGCGUGAGUGAUGAAGGCCCUAGGGUUGUAAAGCUCUUUCACCGGUGAAGAUAAUGACGGUAACCGGAGAAGAAGCCCCGGCUAACUUCGUGUCAGCAGCCGCGGUAAUACGAAGGGGGCCAGCGUUGUUCGGAUUUACUGGGCGUAAAGCGCACGUAGGCGGACUAUUAAGUCAGGGGUGAAAUCCCGGGGCUCAACCCCGGAACUGCCUUUGAUACUGGUAGUCUUGAGUUCGAGAGAGGUGAGUGGAAUUCCGAGUGUAGAGGUGAAAUUCGUAGAUAUUCGGAGGAACACCAGUGGCGAAGGCGGCUCACUGGCUCGAUACUGACGCUGAGGUGCGAAAGCGUGGGGAGCAAACAGGAUUAGAAACCCCAGUAGUCCCAUGA